rnacentral:rRNA from 1 species
UACGUAGGGCGCAAGCGUUGUCCGGAAUUAUUGGGCGUAAAGAGCUCGUAGGCGGUCUGUCGCGUCUGUUGUGAAAACUCGAGGCUCAACCUCGGGCUUGCAGCCGAUACGGGCAGGCUAGAGUUCGGCAGGGGAGACUGGAAUUCCUGGUGUAGCGGUGAAAUGCGCAGAUAUCAGGAGGAACACCGGUGGCGAAGGCGGGUCUCUGGGCCGAUACUGACGCUGAGGAGCGAAAGCGUGGGGAGCGAACAGG